ACUUAAAUUGAAGAGUUUGAUCAUGGCUCAGAUUGAACGCUGGCGGCAGGCCUAACACAUGCAAGUCGAGCGGUAGCACAGAGAGCUUGCUCUCGGGUGACGAGCGGCGGACGGGUGAGUAAUGUCUGGGAAACUGCCUGAUGGAGGGGGAUAACUACUGGAAACGGUAGCUAAUACCGCAUAACGUCGCAAGACCAAAGUGGGGGACCUUCGGGCCUCAUGCCAUCAGAUGUGCCAGAUGGGAUUAGCUAGUAGGUGGGGUAACGGCUCACCUAGCGACGAUCCCUAGCUGGUCUGAGAGGAUGACCAGCACACUGGAACUGAGACACGGUCCAGACUCCUACGGGAG
rnacentral:rRNA from 1 species